rnacentral:lncRNA from 1 species
AUGAAUGAGUGCACAAGCAUGCGUGAACAUGGCUUCCCUGGUGACUCAGUGGUACAGAAUCCACCUUCUGAUGCAGGAGACACAAGAGACACAGAUGCUGAAAGUGCCUCUGUAGAGCCCACCCGUGCUCGAGGAGAGGAAAUAAUCAAGCUCAGAGUUGCAACCGCACCUGAAGACACUUGGACCAGAAGAGGUAGCAAUGUACCCUUUGGCCAUGACAGACACACAGCAUGCUGGUGCUCCUCCAUGUCAUCAUUUAGAUUUGCUUCAGCAAAAAAGAAUCCUGGAUCCUUUGCUUCUUUGAAAAUCAAUUGCCAGAAUGACUUGUACAUCUAAAAGUUGUGAUUAUGUCUCUCCAGUGUCUUGGGAAAUUCAAUGUUUUGAGUUCAAGAGAUCAGACUGCCUGCUGAGAAUCAAGCAUUCAGCAUCCCAUGAAAGCACUUGAUACUUUGAACCACUUCUUCACAACUUUACAUCCGUUUCACAGACAGCCAAAGGUCCCUGACUCCUCCUAGAGCUCCCAGGGACUCUUGAGAGGUUGGAAAGCCAUCGAGUAACUAAUGAGGGGAUCUUGCCCAUGGGCUGGAGGUCUUCCACUUCCAGCAUCCAUUUUCAUUGCCUGCUGUGGCAUUUGCAUUCUCAAGUUAGCCUUUCAGAGUUCAAUCAAGUUCACUCUCAGUGGCCGCUUACUAACUGUAGCCAACUAGAAAACCUAUGACAUAGUCUACUGGGAGAUAGACUGAGAAUUGAAUUGUGUCCCUCCCACUACCACCAGCAACAAAAAAUUAAAGUCCUAAACCCCUGCACCUGUG